GAAUAAAGUCAUUAUCAUCUUAAGAACUCUGAUUCUGUCUCAUCUGUUAAGCUAAGAAGGGUUGCGCUGGUUAGUACUGGGAUAGGAGACUGCUGGGAAUGUCAUUGUCACUACAUUUA
rnacentral:rRNA from 1 species